rnacentral:rRNA from 1 species
CAGUCGCCACGGUAAUACGAAGGGGGCUAGCGUUGUUCGGAUUUACUGGGCGUAAAGCGCACGUAGGCGGAUCGAUCAGUCAGGGGUGAAAUCCCAGAGCUCAACUCUGGAACUGCCUUUGAUACUGUCGAUCUGGAGUAUGGAAGAGGUGAGUGGAAUUCCGAGUGUAGAGGUGAAAUUCGUAGAUAUUCGGAGGAGCACCAGUGGCGAAGGCGGCUCACUGGUCCAUUACUGACGCUGAGGUGCGAAAGCGUGGGGAGCAAACAGGAUUAGAUACCCCAGUAGUCCCUGUCUCUUAUAC